GACGAACGCUGGCGGCGUGCUUAACACAUGCAAGUCGAACGGUGAUGCUCCAGCUUGCUGGAGUGGAUCAGUGGCGAACGGGUGAGUAACACGUGAGCAACCUGCCCCAGACUCUGGAAUAAGCGCUGGAAACGGCGUCUAAUACUGGAUACGAAACUGGCCCGCAUGGGCAUGGUUUGGAAGGUUUUUCGGUUUGGGAUGGGCUCGCGGCCUAUCAGCUUGUUGGUGGGGUAAUGGCUCACCAAGGCGACGACGGGUAGCCGGCCUGAGAGGGCGACCGGCCACACUGGGACUGAGACACGGCCCAGACUCCUACGGGAGGCAGCAGUGGGGAAUAUUGCACAAUGGGCGGAAGCCUGAUGCAGCGACGCCGCGUGAGGGAUGACGGCCUUCGGGUUGUAAACCUCUUUCAGCAGGGAAGAAGCGAAAGUGACGGUACCUGCAGAAGAAGCACCGGCUAACUACGUG
rnacentral:rRNA from 1 species